GACCGAGUCCACCACCUCAGCUCCCUCGGUAUAAUGACCUUUGGCCCAGUUGUUACCAGCACCGCUCUGACCUGCGCAGGGAGCAGCAAUACUUAGCCAAUCUGAACUUAAUAAAUACACACUUUUAAUUGACCCACCAAACACAAAAUUGUCUGGUCGAAAUAUCUGCCCAAAGGCUCCGGAUCUCACAGAGUCCAUGGUGCCUGGUUCCAAGUCCACAAGAACAGCGCGGGGCACAUAUUUACCGCCUUAAUGCAAAAAAUGACAAUGUAAGUCAGAAAUUGAGAGGAAGCUACAAAACCUAAAGGUAACGGUAACCUGUGGCUUCAUUGUAGUAAACAUUGAUCCUGUCCAGCUGCAGGUCACUGUCUCCGUGAUAGGUCCCGGUGGGGUCAAUGCCAUGCUCGUCACUAAUUACUUCCCAGAACUGCAAACAGAAAAGAACAUUAUCACAAUCGAACGCAAGUAAUGGGCAAACGCAGAUCAGGCGAUGUGUGUGCGGACCCCGUUUUGCAUGAAGAAGCGCAUGUAAAAUGUCCAUUUAUGAAUGACACGCUUCAUAUGAAAUGUUACCACAAAUGUAUUGCUAGCUGCUGCCUGCUCCAUCACUGAUUAGAUUAUAAUGGCAUAUUUCUCCAUGCAAUCAAUGCAAGUUUGAUUGAAAAGACAAAUUGUUCUAAUUUAAAAAGUGUGAAAAAUAUCAAUAACUGGGCAGCCCCGAGUUGGUUAUGACAGUGGUUCUCAAAUGGGUGUACGCGUACCCCUGGGGGUACUUGAAGGUAUGCCAAGGGGUACGGGAGUUUUUUUUUAAAUAUUCUAAAAAUAGCAACAAUUCAAAAAUCCUUUAUAAAUAUAUUUAUUGUGAAGUGAAUUAUAUUUAUAUAGCACUUUUUCUCUAGUGACUCAAAGCGCUUUACAUAGUGAAACCCAAUAUCUAAGUUACAUUUAAACCAGUGUGGGUGGCACUGGGAGCAGGUGGGUAAAGUGUCUUGCCCAAGGACACAACGGCAGUGACUAGGAUGGCGGAAGCGGGGAUCGUACCUGCAACCCUCAAGUUGUUGGCACGACCGCUCUACCAACCGAGCUAUACCGGGCGGUAUAGCUCGGUUGAAUAAUACUUCAGCAAAAGAUGAAUGUAUGUUCAUAAAACUGUUGACAGCUAGAUUUUUCGUGUACACGUUCCAUAAAUAUUGAUGUUUCUUUUUUUUGUGAAGAAAUGUUUAGAAUUAAGUUCAUGAAACCAGAUGGAUCUCUAUUACAAUCCCCAAAGAGGGUACUUUAAGUUGAUGAUUACUUCUAUAAGUAGAAAUCUUUAAUUAUCAUUGAAUCACUUGUUUAUUUUUCAACAAGUUUUUAGUUAUUUUUAUCUUUUUUUCCAAAUAGUUCAAGAAAGACCACUACAAAUGAGCAAUAAUUUGCACUGUUUAACAAUUUAAUGAAUCAGAAACUGAUGACAUAGUGCUGUAUUUUACUUUAUCUCUUUUUUCCAACCAAAAUGGCUUUGCUCUGAUUAGGGGGUACUUGAAUUUAAAAAAUCACUGAAAAAAGGUUGAGAACCACUGGGUUAUGAGAUUACAUAAAAAAUAUGUUUGUGUACAUAAAUAAAACAUGUCCAAUUACAACAAUUAUUAUAUAAGGGUAGAAGGCACUGUUAGGUUGCAAGUUUACAUAAAAUCUACAUUAAAAAGUGUACACAAUGUGGUGAGUAGGAUUAGCAGAAUGUUCCUUGUAGAACUACCCAAAAACAAUGGAUUGUUUCAAUGUAAGAUAUGUUUGCCAAUUGUAAUGACACCAAAAGUACAUUAACCAUUGCAAUUAUUAGCUUGUAAAGUUUACAGUACAUGCUAAAGGGCCAAACAAGGGGGUCAAUGGAGAGUAUAUUUGGAUUUAGCCUUAAAGCUAUUUAUUCAUUUUUUGUACAUCCGGGUACUGAGCCAGUACCCGGAUGUUAGUAAUAGUAAGUUAGCUGUGCGAGUGCAACAUCCGGGUACUGAGUACUGGAGUCGACACGUCCUAAAUGUCGAGUGUAAUCGUCACUCCGUCAUGUUGGCCACGGAGAAGAAGAUACUCGAGUGGAUAAAAUCCACAGUAAAUAAGGCGACGAGACGACUAAGUAUCAUUUCCGAGUCUCCUCCACUACGGCGGGCUCCUGUACGCCAAAUCGUGGCCCCCCGUGCACAAACACACUCCCCUCUGUCACAGAGGUGCGCGGCCGCCGCACGCAAGCACAUGCAAGCGUGCACGCAGAUGCUGUAUGUGCACUGUCGGUGGCGUGUUGUGGAGACAACACACUAAGCAGCACUAUGCUAGGCGAAGUAAAUGUAAGUUAACUCUGUCGUCACAACCCUGUAUCUGCCUAACAAAAUGAUGCAGCCUUUCACAGUAUGACUCAAAUCUUAAGCAAAGACUUCAAAUCGGUAAAACUAGUUAUGAACAAUAACACUCACCAUGAUGUUCUAUUUGUGUCAUAUCUUUGUUGCUCAUUUGUAAGCCAAAGUAAAAAGGCAAUGAAACAAGACGACACCUUCCUAUCGGUGGGAAUCAAUCAAUGAAAGGUAAGCCAACACAGCCGUCAUUUGGUCAACUGACUGACACGGAGAAUGGUUUGAAAUUUCUACACAGGCCUGACCAUUUGAUAAUCUUAUUUUAACUUUCUUGAGGUGAACAAAAACAUUUUUCGGAACACAUUAAAACAGUACUUCUCGUACACUCAGAUCUCGUACACCCCACUAUUGGUGUGAUUCGGUUUCAAGCAAAAAUGUUAUGUUGCAAAAUAAGUCAGCAUAGCGCCAAACAAUGUUGUAGCAAUAACAACAUUAUUGAGAGUGUUAGAGUGUGUCACUGAAUGCACCAUUUUACUCAGGUAUGUCUAGCCCAGGGGUUACCAACGCGGUGCCCGCGGGCACCAGGUCGCCCGUAAGGACCAGAUGAGUAGCCUGCUGGCCUGUUCUAAAAAUAGCUCAAAUAGCAGCACUUACCAGUGCCUCUAUUUUUAAAAUUGUAUUUAUUUACUUGCAAGCUGGUCUCGGUUUGCUCGACAUUUUUAAUUCUAAGAGAGACAAAACUCAAAUAGAAUUUGAAAAUCCCAAAAAAUAUUUAAAAGACUUGGUCUUCACUUGUUUAAAUCAAUUCAUUUAUUUUCUUUACUUUGCUUAUAACUUUCAGAAAGACAAUUUUAGGGGGAAAAAUACAACCUUAAAAAUGAUUUUAGGAUUUUUAAACACAUAUACCUUUUUACCUUUUAAAUUCCUUCCUCUUCUUUCCUGACAAUUUAAAUCAAUGUUCAAGUAUUUUUUUUUUUUAUUGUAAAGAAUAAUAAAUACAUUUUAUUUGUAUUCUUCAUUUUAGCUUCUGUUUUUUCAACAAAGAAUAUUUGUGAAAUAUUUCUUCAAAAUUAUGAUUAAAAUUUUUAAAA